GCAGAAGUGCCGAGUCCCGGCCGGGGGCAGCCUCGCCGCCGCUCAGCUCGGGAAUCCCUGCCCCCCACCAGCACCUCAGUGGGGGAUACUGCAAGUUCAAGAAUUGGGGCCAGGAUCAGGUGGUGACAGAGCCACCUGGGUUUCCGGAGACUCUCAAGCCAACCCCAAGUCAUGACAAAUGCCAGUCGCCUUGGACAGAGGCAAGGUCAACCUGCUUGCCGCCCCCAGCCAGGCCCUGCCACCAAGGGGCCUGGACGCAGAGACCAGAGGCCUGAACUGGCAGACUGUCCUCACAGGCUGUGUGACGCUGGCUGGUCGUCCCAUCUCUCUGGGGCCCCACAGGACUGGGGACCAGGUCGUGGAAUGACAGUGGACCACAGUGGUCCGGGGACCCCGCUCGUUGGUGGCAGGCACAGGCCCGUGUGAUGGGGACAAUGAGCUUUGGUAUUUGUGAGUCCUGUCCAGAGCAUAGGUCCUCCUGUUCAGAAGCCACCUCAUAAAUGUCCCCAGUGCCUCCCGGACUUAGGAAGGCAUCCCCUUGUGGUUCUGGCCAGUUAGGGACACAGGGCCGGGGAGUCUAUGCCGCUCAGAACAGGCUCAGCUGCAUCUAAUCCCAGGGGAGCCCCUGAGGAGCCUGCACACCCCCCAGGCUGGCCCACAGGAGCUGAGGCAGGGCUCUCCUCCAGGUUCACCUCCUGGGCUCACGGCCCCUUCCCCACAUCCCAAGGCCGGCUCUGCAGAGUCAUGGGGAGAAGCCGGAGCCCCAGCCACACUCGCCACACACGCCGACACCCACUCUGGUGUCCUCCGGCCAGCGACAGCGAGGGACAGAGGGACGCCCCCUGCACCUGCCCAGUGCAGAGGCUUCUUGAGUGAUGCCAGGCCCUUCUCCCAGCCCUGUACGCCCCGCUAAAGACCCCAUGUCUCACCAUAAAGGAGGCCAGGAGGUUUUAAGCUUCUACCUGGUCUGAGCACUUUUCUGGAAACUAAAUAGCCACUCGGCUUCCCACUGGCAGCGGGAGAGCGUGGUGUGAGGUGUGGUGUCCAAACUCCCCCUGCAAGGCCCCUCCCCUGCAGCCCACUUCCUCCUGCCUGCCGUCUCCAGGCAGGGUUGAGGGGGGCAGGCCAGGCCUGCAGCUGGGGUCAGGGGCAUAGACAGCCACAAUGGGGGAGGUGGGGAGCAGUCUGCAGGCCUGGGCAGGCGGCUCUGUAAAGGAUGCGGGUGCUUUGUGGUGGUGAGAGAGAGGGUAUGCAGCAGACGUGGCCAUAAAUCACCCUCCUCACGGCAGCCCCACACCCACGGACCAGGGCACGGGCACAGGGCCAUCUCCUUCCAGGAGAAGGGCUGGUGUGGGUGGCCAGAUCUGACAGCCCCCAGGCCGUAGGACAGAGCCAGAAGACAGAGCAGUUCCCCCGUUUACCCAUAGCACCAGCCUCACAGUAACAGCCGGCACACAGCACUUAGGCUGCCUGGUGUUCCAGAAGCUUCUGCAGGGGCUCUAUGCUGCACUCAAGGCAUCCCUAAGAGGAGAGCAUUUUGCUGUCCCCACUUUACGGAGAAGGAACGUGGGCUCAGGGUGGUUUAAGGCGUGAAUGAAUGAAGGAGCAAGCAGUAAGCCCCGACAGCAAGGCCACCACAGCCCUCGCCCCACAGGGACGCCUGAGCAAGGACCCAAGCAGGGGACAAGCAGGCUCACCCCGCCCUUGCGGGGCUGACCACGAGGCCCCGUCCGGUGGAACACGCCAUGACGCUUCAGGAGGCUCAUGUAGCUGGCGCCGUAUGGGACAGCGGGGGAGAGAGAAAAUGCACAGCCCAGGGAAUGUGGAGACAGGCCCAGCGCCAGGCAUGGGGGCCGGAAGGAGCAGCCGGGGAGCAGGGGGCAGGGCCUGGAGUCCCGCCUUGCAGGUCAGAGAUCUGAACCUGCCCCAGCCCCAGGACUCUGAGUGCAGCAAGAGGGGAGCCGGGCUGGAGAGUGGGGAGCACGGAGACUGUGGCCUGGAUGGUGCCAGAGCAAACAGGAGAGAGGCUGCCCAACGCAGAGGCUGCAGCACAGACCAGAGGGUCCCGGGGCUGACUGGGUGGGGGCAGCUCCCAGCGAGAGGCCCCUGGGAUUUGGGUAAGUAGAGGCACAUGCAGACUCUGGCCACAGGGCACCUCGCGCACGAGGGGAGUUCACCACACAAGCUGAGCGGAGGGCGGACGCAGGAGAGCAGCGGUUUCUCGGAAGCCAAGGGCGGUCAUGGAGCCCCACGCCACAGCGCUUCCCACGGGGCCACACCAUCCGGUCUGCGGAGGGGGCUGCAUUGCCGGGAAGGACCAUCUGAUUCUGGAUUCCAGCCUCACCCUGGGCCACCGCUGAGUGUCCCAAGUGGCCCCUUAGCCCCCAGGGCCAGGCGGCAUCCCAAUCCCCUAGGGAUGUCUGUGCUCAGAAUGUGGCACACACGCCCCGGCAGGGCCAUCCUCCUCCUCCUGCACCCGCCACAGCCGUGGAUUCGGGGUCUCUAUCGUGGGCAGAAAUUCACACAGUCAAGGUGAGGGUCCCAGGAGCAGCUGUGACCAGGCCCCGGCUGCCAGGGAGAGGGGGUCUUCAGCCGACGGGGCAGACACCCUGAGAUGGACCCUUGUCCAGGGGAGGGCCCUGCCACCCACAAUUCCUUGGCAUUCCUGCACCAGCAGGACGGGCUGAGGGAGGCGCCUCACCAGUGCCAGCGCCCAGCAUCACUGUGCCCCGGUGGAGGGGGAGGCCCUUCCGAGCCUGGGCCUGGGUGUGGAUGAGGGCAGGUCUCUCACCUCUCUGACCUCAGCUUCCUCAACUGGGAAGGGGGGCCACAGCACCCCCUUAGGGGUGAUGAGGAAGUGGGAGCUCAGGGAGGACCCCGGGCAGGGCUGCCUCCUCACCUCUCUUCGGCCUUUGGACACUGGAGCUCAGAGGACCAAGUGAAUGAAUGAAUGACUCGAUCAAUCAACUGAUCCAUGAAUCCAUGGACCCCUGAACAGCUGGACAGCUGGGCUGUGGGCAGGACAGGGGACUCUGGCUGAAGCCGCGUUCAUAUGUGUUCAGCUUUAGGCCUCCACUGUGCCCGGACCAGCGGCCCACUCAGUGAGUCGAGUGUGCACCUGGCACCCCUCUUUCUGGAAAUCCACGAACAAUGGGCUCCCAGCAGAGGACUGAGGCUGAGCAGGCCACUUCCCUGGAGCUGACCCCACAGCUGUCCUGCUCCUCCUUCGCCUUCUGCCAUGACUGUAAGCUUUCUGAGGGCUGACCAGAAGCCCAGCAGAUGCCAGCACCAUGCUUCCUAUACAGCCUGCAGAACCGUGAGCCAGCUAAACCUCUCCUCAUAAAUCACCGAGCCCCAGGUUUAUCUUUACAGCAAUGCAAGACCUGACUAAUACAGCACCAGCUCCCCAAAAUAAAAAGAAAUAUUCAAACAAAUAAGCGCACAGAAGUGUUCCCAGCAGCACUAUUCACAGCAGCCAAAAGGCGGAGGAGCCACAGGCUUGUCAGCUGAUGACAGAUAAAGAAAGCAUGGCCUGUCAUCCCAGCACUUUGGGAGGCCGAGGUGGGUGGAUCACCUGAGGUUGGGAGUUCAAGACCAGCCUGGCCAACAUGGUGAAACCCAGUCUCUACUAAAAAUAUAAAAAUUAGCUGGGUGUGAUGAUGAGCGCCUGUAGUCCCAGCUACUUGGAAGGCUGAGGAACAAGAAUCGCUUGAACCCGGGAGGCAGAGGUCGCAGUGAACCGAGAUCAU
rnacentral:lncRNA from 1 species